CCCUUAGAUGUUCUGGGCCGCACGCGCGCUACACUGAUGCAUUCAACGAGCCUAUCCUUGACCGACAGGUCCGGGUAAUCUUUGAAUCUGCAUCGUGACGGGGAUAGAUUAUUGCAAUUAUUAAUCUUCAACGAGGAAUGCCUAGUAGGCGCAAGUCAUCAGCUUGCGUCGAUUCCGUCCCUGCCCUUUGUACACACCGCCCGUCGCUCCUACCGAUUGGGUGUGCUGGUGAAAUGUUCGGAUCGGCCGUUUGUCGCGGUUUCCGCGUCAUGUGGCUGAGAAGUUCAUUAAACCCUCCCACCUAGAGGAAGGAGAAGUCGUAACA
rnacentral:rRNA from 1 species